rnacentral:rRNA from 1 species
UCCGGUGGUCAUUGCGAGAGGGCCACACCCGAUCCCAUCCCGAACUCGGAAGUUAAGCCUCUCAGCGCCGAUGGUACUGCAUGAUAUUUUGUGUGGGAGAGUAGGUCGCCGCCGGAG